rnacentral:rRNA from 1 species
GGAAGUAAAAGUCGUAACAAGGUAUCCGUAGGUGAACCUGCGGAUGGAUCAUUACCAAUUUUUAUUAUUAGUUUGGAAUAGUCUCUCGGUCAAACGGGAGGUCUAUUGCAACACUACUAAUGUAAACGUUGAACUAGAUCAUUGGUGUGGAUUGUUUGGGAAUGGAAGAAGCGACAAGCCUCUUCCGGACAGGCAAACCCCACAUCGAUAACCUUUUUUCAUACUAAUUACAACUUAGUACAUACUACAAACAAACAAACAAACAAACAAAAGCUAUAAUAGGACUUAUAUACGAGUUGAGUGGGUAAAAGCCUCAGCUCUUAAAACUAAUAACUAUUACAACUUUCAGCAAUGGAUCUCUAGGCUCUCGCAUCGAUGAAGAACGCAGCGAAUUGCGAAACGUAAUGUGACUUGCAACUCUCGUGAAUCAUCGAAUCUUUGAACGCAUCUUGCACUAUUCGGCUUCCCCGGAUAGUAUGCCUGGUUGAGUGUCUGUGUAUCUCUCCUAACAACAAUUUUGUGUUGUUGAUAGGGACUUGGGGUCUUAAUCUCGUCGGAAACCAUUUCAUUGGCAACCGGUGAACCCUUUAAAUAUAGUAAGCUCCCAUCUUUUCCACUAUGGAAAUACGCAAACUUGGGGAUGGCGUCGUAGCAAUCUUUUGUAUUGUCGAAGCGCCUACAACAUACCUCUAAUCUGCGGUGCUAAUCCAUACUAGGUGGGCGAAGCUUAACGACUGGCAAAGUGCCAUGCUCUCUCUUUUGGAGCACACGAACAACAAUGACCUCAACUCAGGUAGGACGACCCGCUGGACUUAAGCAUAUCAAUAAGCGGAGGA